GAGGGAGGUACAGUGCUGUACUUGAGCGCCGCUCGGCUUGGAGAUUGUCUUCUCGUUUUCGGACGUCCCAACCUAUUUAUCGAGCCUUUUUUCUCAUCAAUACAUCAGAGAAGAACUUUGCCACGGUAGAGAUGACUCGCAUGUAACGACGACGGCCCUUUUGCAGUUUUUCCGCUCAGUUGUGAAUUGAACCCCAGUGAGUUAUUUGCUCAAUUUGAUUGAAAUAGAUUGAAAAACAAAACAAAAACUCUAAAGAGCCACACGUGCAUCUCAAAGCGAAUGUACGGCGAUAACUUGAACAGCAAAGUCGGACGAGUUGACUCGUUCUAAGCAGGACUGGGAUGGAAUGAUAAUGAAAAUAGUUUGAAUGGUGUGAACUGAAUGAAAAGCUUGUUGUACAGUUUUGUGUUGAAAGACCAAUUGUUUAUUUUGGGCGCAUCUUUGCUCCAAGAAAGAUAUUUGAUUUUGAUUUGCUCGACUGAUAUGCACACGACGAUGGCUGCUUGUGGGCGGGGCCUGCUUCUUCUAAUCCACACAUUUAAUCAAAAUUUUGUAUUCCAUUUAUUCUCACUAGCGUUGGUUCUGCAUGGCAUUUUCUGACCUCACAAUUGAUUCUUUUCCAGUAUUGGCAUAAACAUUAUUAUUAUUAUUAUGAAGAUGAAUCUUAUUGUUUCAACUAUUAAAUGAUUGUUUGGAGUGUUUCAUAUCCGGGCUUAUUUUGGUAUCGCUGCUGAAGAUGACUUGAAGUGCUUUAUUUGGAAGAUGAUGCUGUUUCUCUUGUUGGAAUGCAUGUUUCCUCUUUUUCCAUUGUCACAAUCAUCCAUACUUAUUUCUGCUUUCUGGUCCCGGGAAUCUACAAAUAUGGACAGUCUAUUAAUACUUCAUUUUAAAUAAAAGUGACACGCUGAAAUUCUUGUAUGAAGUGCAUCUUCUGUCCAUCACCCACGAUCAUGGUGCUGGUAGCUUGUGAGCAAAAUGCUCGGGCGUAUCAAUGCGAGCUUAUUUAAUUUUAGGGGACAAAAGUAUUUGCAGCGCUCAUUUAGGAAGUGAAAGAACGAUGAUGAAUUUGCCCGCAUGAAUCACGACAGGGAAUUUCCAGGAAACUGUUUCAGUUUUUUUAUUAUUAUUUAGUAUCAAUAUAAAUGGCAUUUUUUCAAUAAGAAAGUCAAUAUAGUUGAAUGUGUGCUUUCUUGUUUGAAAUGAAUUUACGUUGACGUUGAAGCGGUGGGGUCGCGUACGUCAUGACAUUUUCAUGACGCAAUACGUAUUACACUUGCCUGAACGCAGAAGUGAGCGGCGGCGGCGGCAGAAAAAAGCGAAGCGACUUGUUUGGACUUGUUGGCCGGUUAAAAAAAAGCCUUCAUUAUUCUCAGAGCUAAUGGCAAACGGACGCGUUGAAAUUCAUGACCCUUUGGCCAACCUCAACGACCUCAGCCGGCCAGACAGCCCUGUCACUAAAGAGGAAGAACCUAGAUAAAAGGAAAAGUCAUAAACUCGUAAAGACAAGGCCUCCAGGUCUGUCAGGCCAAGGCUUUACUUCAAUUAUUCGAACAUUUCCCUCCUGUUUAUCACACAUUUGCUAAAUUUUUACAUGACCAAAAACGACCACUUCUCUCGAUUUUCAGUUGUCGGAUCACAAGUAUGAGCGCAAAUAUGUUCACGCCAAAAAGGACAAAUGUUGCGAUAUCAUCAAGCGUUUGGCAUGCAUUGACCACUUACUUCAUUAAGGCAACAUUUGUUAUUUCAAAGUGCACAACAAAUACAAAUAUCAUCAGAUCAUCAAGUUAUUCUCAAAACAUUUCUCAUGACCACAUAGUCCAUCACAUCUC